CUCAUGGGAUUGCUUUAUCCUCAUCCAGGAAAUAAAACAGCCUUUGCCAACAGUUACCCCAGUGCUUCUUAAGGAGUUCAGAAGAAGAAGUAGCUAAACUGCAGCACAGCUGAGGUGCAAAGGACAAGAAAGGACCUCCUUCUGUUCUGGAGGCUGAAAGUCUGAGUGCCAAUACAGCAGGUUUCUGGUGAUGGCCCUCUUUCUAGCUUACAGAGUGCUGCCUUCUUACUGUGCCCUCACAUGGAAGGGAGAGGAACAGAGGAUAGUUGAUGAAAAGCCAAAAAGAUGGAAGAGGACACAGAUGCUGGGAGUAAGGUGUGGGGAGAAGAGGAAAACAAAUGUGAAACUCGGCUACAAAAAUCAAGAAAAAUAAAGUGGAGUAAGUGAUAAAUAGCCUAUAAAGGAGAUAAUUAUGUAUAUAUUCUAGAGCAGGGGCAUUCGACCUCUGGUACAGUCCAUGGCCUCUUAAGACCACACAGCAGGAGGUGAGUGGUGGGUGAGCAAAGCUUCAUGUGGAUUUACAGCCACUCCCUACUGCUCACGUUACCACCUGAGCUCCGUCUCUUGUCAGAUGAACGGAGGCAUUAGAUUCUCAUAGGAGUGCGAACCCUGUUGUGAACUUCGUGUGCAAGGGA